AGUGAACGCUGGCGGUAGGCCUAACACAUGCAAGUCGAACGGCAGCACAGUAAGAGCUUGCUCUUACGGGUGGCGAGUGGCGGACGGGUGAGGAAUACAUCGGAAUCUACUUUUUCGUGGGGGAUAACGUAGGGAAACUUACGCUAAUACCGCAUACGACCUACGGGUGAAAGCAGGGGAUCUUCGGACCUUGCGCGAUUGAAUGAGCCGAUGUCGGAUUAGCUAGUUGGCGGGGUAAAGGCCCACCAAGGCGACGAUCCGUAGCUGGUCUGAGAGGACGAUCAGCCACACUGGAACUGAGACACGGUCCAGACUCCUACGGGAGGCAGCAGUGGGGAAUAUUGGACAAUGGGCGCAAGCCUGAUCCAGCCAUACCGCGUGGGUGAAGAAGGCCUUCGGGUUGUAAAGCCCUUUUGUUGGGAAAGAAAAGCAGCAGGUUAAUACCCCGCUGUUCUGACGGUACCAAAAGAAUAAGCACCGGCUAACUUCGUG
rnacentral:rRNA from 1 species